rnacentral:rRNA from 1 species
GACGAACGCUGGCGGCGUGCUUAACACAUGCAAGUCGAACGGAAAGGCCCUGCUUUUGUGGGGUGCUCGAGUGGCGAACGGGUGAGUAACACGUGAGUAACCUGCCCUUGACUUUGGGAUAACUUCAGGAAACUGGGGCUAAUACCGGAUAGGAGCUCCUGCUGCAUGGUGGGGGUUGGAAAGUUUCGGCGGUUGGGGAUGGACUCGCGGCUUAUCAGCUUGUUGGUGGGGUAGUGGCUUACCAAGGCUUUGACGGGUAGCCGGCCUGAGUGGGUGACCGGCCACAUUGGGACUGAGAUACGGCCCAGACUCCUACGGGAGGCGGCAGUGGGGAAUAUUGCACAAUGGGCGGAAGCCUGAUGCAGCAACGCCGCGUGCGGGAUGACGGCCUUCGGGUUGUAAACCGCUUUCGCCUGUGACGAAGCGUGAGUGACGGUAAUGGGUAAAGAAGCACCGGCUAACUACGUGCCAGCAGCCGCGGUGAUACGUAGGGUGCGAGCGUUGUCCGGAUUUAUUGGGCGUAAAGGGCUCGUAGGUGGUUGAUCGCGUCGGAAGUGUAAUCUUGGGGCUUAACCCUGAGCGUGCUUUCGAUACGGGUUGACUUGAGGAAGGUAGGGGAGAAUGGAAUUCCUGGUGGAGCGGUGGAAUGCGCAGAUAUCAGGAGGAACACCAGUGGCGAAGGCGGUUCUCUGGGCCUUUCCUGACGCUGAGGAGCGAAAGCGUGGGGAGCGAACAGGCUUAGAUACCCUGGUAGUCCACGCUGUAAACGGUGGGUACUAGGUGUGGGGUCCAUUCCACGGGUUCCGUGCCGUAGCUAACGCUUUAAGUACCCCGCCUGGGGAGUACGGCCGCAAGGCUAAAACUCAAAGGAAUUGACGGGGCCCCGCACAAGCGGCGGAGCAUGCGGAUUAAUUCGAUGCAACGCGUAGAACCUUACCUGGGUUUGACAUGGAUCGGGAGUGCUCAGAGAUGGGUGUGCCUCUUUUGGGGUCGGUUCACAGGUGGUGCAUGGCUGUCGUCAGCUCGUGUCGUGAGAUGUUGGGUUAAGUCCCGCAACGAGCGCAACCCUUGUUCACUGUUGCCAGCACGUUAUGGUGGGGACUCAGUGGAGACCGCCGGGGUCAACUCGGAGGAAGGUGGGGAUGACGUCAAGUCAUCAUGCCCCUUAUGUCCAGGGCUUCACGCAUGCUACAAUGGCUGGUACAGAGAGUGGCGAGCCUGUGAGGGUGAGCGAAUCUCGGAAAGCCGGUCUCAGUUCGGAUUGGGGUCUGCAACUCGACCUCAUGAAGUCGGAGUCGCUAGUAAUCGCAGAUCAGCAACGCUGCGGUGAAUACGUUCCCGGG